AUUGAACGCUGGCGGCAUGCCUUACACAUGCAAGUCGAACGGUAACAGGUCUUCGGAUGCUGACGAGUGGCGAACGGGUGAGUAAUACAUCGGAACGUGCCUAGUAGUGGGGGAUAACUACUCGAAAGAGUGGCUAAUACCGCAUGAGAUCUACGGAUGAAGUCAGGGGAUCGCAAGAACUUGUGCUAUUAGAGAGGCCGAUGGCAGAUUAGGUAGUUGGUGGGAUAAAAGCGUACCAAGCCGACGAUCUGUAGCUGGUCUGAGAGGACUAUCAGCCACACUGGGACUGAGACACGGCCCCGACUCCUACGGGAGGCAGCAGUGGGGAAUUUUGGACAAUGGGCGCAAGCCUGAUCCAGAAAUGCCGCGUGCAGGAUGAAGGCCUUCGGGUUGUAAACUGCUUUUGUACGGAACGAAAAGCCCUGGGUUAAUACCCUGGGGUCAUGACGGUACCGUAAGAAUAAGCACCGGCUAACUACGUGCCAGCCGCCGCCGUAAAAC
rnacentral:rRNA from 1 species